AUCCUCCCGGAUUUGCUUCCUCCGCACUGGGGGCGCCCGCCGGGUGGGGCCGCGCGAGUGGGGAGGGGGCGCAGCGGAGGCGGGGAGGGGUCGUGGUAGCGCUUCCCGGCCUCGAGCCGUCGCCUCCGUUCCCGGGAUUGGUUCGAGCCACUGGGAGGGGGGCGCUCGCUGCGCCGCGGGGGGCGGGGGGCGGCUCGGCGGAAGCGGAAGCGGCGCGCGCCCGCCCCGGCGAGUCACCACCGCGGGUCACCUGGGAGCCACGCGUGUCACCGCCGAGGUCACCUGGGAGGCCCGCGUGUCAGUCACACAGCUGCCCCGCGGCAAGUGCAGAAGCUGCAGAGGCCACAGCAGCCUAGCGCGCCCCCUCCGUAUGGCCGCAUGCCACCCGUGCCGCGCCCAGGAACCAGAGGCACCCCAGGAGGGAGGCGGAAGGUAACGCAACACCUGGAUACCGAAUAUCCUCAUAGCGACCAUUCCGGAUCAUCAGCCACUAACAGAGCAGGGAAGUCUGGAAUUCACAUUAAUGUAAACCAUAAACGCAGAAUCAGUGAUUAAGGACACUUCGGAGACGUUCUUUUGGGCAUAAAAUCUGGCAGGACUGCUGGCCCGGACACCAUCAUCUAAAGUUCUCACACACAAAUGACCAUUACCUUUGAUGCAUAAAACAAGUAAUAUGUAUUUUUUCUGAGUACGAAAUCAUUGUGUUCACUUUGGAAAAUAUAGAAAAGAAAAAUACAAUGUACUUCAACAGCAUCCCCUGGAGGUCUUUUCUUUGUCUUUCUGAUGCCCUUUUACACAAAAUUAUAACAGCAAUGUGUAUUGUGUGUAACACAUUUUUCACUCAAACGUUUUUUCAUGAUGCUACCCUUCUACAUGGUUUUAAAUAGCUGGGCAAAUAUUUCCUGGGAUGUAUGUUUCAAAAUUUAAUCAGGGUUUCCAGUGAUUCUUUUUUUUUUUUUUGAGACA
rnacentral:lncRNA from 13 species